UGCUGGAAUUCGCCCUUAGAGUUUGAUCCUGGCUCAGGAUGAACGCUAGCGGCAGGCCUAACACAUGCAAGGCGAGGGGUAACAGGAAAGCUUGCUUUUGCUGACGACCGGCGCACGGGUGCGUAACGCGUAUGCAACCUACCUCAUACUGGAGCAUAGCCCUUGGAAACGAGGAUUAAUACUCCAUGGUAUCAUGAAUUCGCAUGUUUUCAUGAUUAAAGAGUUUCGGUAUGAGAUGGGCAUGCGUCCCAUUAGCUAGUUGGUGAGGUAACGGCUCCCCAAGGCGACGAUGGGUAGGGGGCCUGAGAGGGUGGUCCCCCACACUGGUACUGAGACACGGCCCAGACUCCUACGGGAGGCAGCAGUGGGGAAUCUUGGACAAUGGGCGCAAGCCUGAUCCAGCCAUGCCGCGUGCGGGAAGAAGGCCU
rnacentral:rRNA from 1 species